rnacentral:lncRNA from 1 species
UUCUACUUUCCAGCACAAGCUGUCAAAAACAACAACAAUCAUCAUAAAUAUAGAGGGUCAAAUUGGGCUGUGAACCAAGCCUGCCACGUUGGAACCAAGUACUCUGGAAGCAGACUAUGGAUGUUCGACUUACAGGAAUAUGAAAGCGUGACUGCAUGUUGUCCUGCUGCUUCCUAAAUAAUGUCUCCAAGGGAAUUUAAGGAGAGAAAACACUUGGAAAUUCCUCAGUGGAGAAUAUGCCCAAGCAACUUAUCUUCUCAGUACAAAAUCUC